rnacentral:tRNA from 1 species
UGGCAGCAUAGCUCAGUUGGUAGAGCAAACGGCUCAUAUCCGUUGUGUCAUAGGUUCAAUCCCUAUUGCUGCUAA